UAAUACGUAGGGGGCCAGCGUUGUCCGGAUUUACUGGGCGUAAAGCGUGCGUAGGCGGAAGUUUAAGUGUGGCCUGAAAGCCCCCGGCUCAACCGGGGAGGGUGGCUGCAAACUGGACUUCUUGAGGGCGAUAGAGGAGAGUGGAAUUCCGGGUGUAGCGGUGAAAUGCGUAGAUAUCCGGAGGAACACCAGUGGCGCAGGCGGCUCUCUGGGUCGGCCCUGACGCUGAGGCACGAAAGCGUGGGGAGCGAACGGGAUUAGAUACCCCGGUAGUCCACGCCGUAAACGAUGGUCACCAGGUGUGUGCGGUAUCGACCCCGCACGUGCCGGCGCUAACGCAUUCAGUGACCCGCCUGGGGAGUACGGCCGCAAGGUUG
rnacentral:rRNA from 1 species